UGUUUUCGAACGCAAUUCUUG
rnacentral:piRNA from 1 species